CACCACAUCAGUUUUCCUUUGGGGUUUCAAAAAUUGGAGCUCAGUCACAGACUCACGAUCUCGGCCCUCUGGGCAUAGUCGAAAUCGCCCGAAACGUCCGAAAUUUCCCUGCAUAGACCGGUAUUUGAACCGGUACAUGGAGCAUAGGGUUCCUCUGUACCGGUAAUUUCAAAAUAUGGAGGAACCUCCGAUUUCUGAGCUUUUGAGCGCGAAGCGCGGGAAGAAGAAGAAGACGACGACAACAACCGAAGGAACUGCGAAGAAGAAGAAGAAGAAGGAUGCUCCAGUUCCUUCAGCGAACGCUGAGAAUCCAUCGGGAUUUGCAGAGAAUUGCAAUGGCGAAAAGGUUACGGUCUUGGCUUUCGACGAAUCGGUGGAGAAUCACUUCAAAGCCAUAGACGCAAUCUCUAAGCUUUGCGGAGAGGCAGAGGAAGACGAUGCUCCUAUUGAAGAAAGCGAAAUUAAGCGAUUAUCUUCCUCAAUCACCUUCAUAAGUGAAUGGAAGUAUUUUAAUUAUGAACCAAGAACUGUUAGCUUUGCCUGUGAAGUGGGAAGCCCUGAAGGGAAAGAUGUUGUUAGUGGAAUACACUUACCUCAAUUUUCUUCUGCAACUGUUCCUAAGAAGGAGGGAUCAUCUGGGGAUGCUGAAUAUGUGGAAUCCAGAUCUUGCUGCAGCAAAGACUUUGUUAUCUAUGUUGGAGGGCAUGUUUGGGCUUUGGAUUGGUGUCCUAGAAUUCGUGAAACGCCAGACUAUCAUAAUAAAUGUGAGUUUAUCGCUGUUGCUGCUCAUCCUCCGGGAACUUCAUAUCACAUGAUGGGUGCCCCACUUACCGGUAGAGGUGUCAUUCAAAUAUGGUGUCUUAUGAAUGUCGGCGUGAAUGAGGAAGAGGUGCCAACUUCAUUAGCAAAGCCAAAACAGGGAACCAAAAAUAAUGGGGCUGUGAUAGAUGAUUCAACUUUAUCAAAGAGGCCUAGAGGAAGACCUAGAAAGAAGCCAGUAGAAGACACAACUCAAUCAAAGAGGCCUAGAGGAAGACCUAGAAAGAAUUUGAUCGAACAAUCUCUUGAUAAUUUGGCUGUUCAAGCUCUGGCUGUUAAACACACAGAAGAUUCAUUGGAAUCACAUGCUGUGGAUGAGGUUCCUGGGAAUGCCAAAGAAGGUUCUGUACAAGAAGACACUGGCAAAAAACAAAAACGACAGAAGCGAGCCGUAUCUGCAUGUAAACUAGCACUUGAAACUCCUAUGCAGAGUAGAAGAUUGAAACAUAAGAAGCGGGCAGUGAGCCACAGUGAUAAUACAAGUCCACUGUUAUUAACACAAAAUGAAGACAUGGGAUCUUCUGUUACAAAUAAUCAAAUACAACAUUACUCUGGACAGGAACUUGCUGCAAGUGAUAAUGUGUCUGACAAAGGUUCCUUAGGAACUAGCUCAGCUAGUUCCUUGAUUUCAAAGGAUGUUGCUUUGCCAAGAGUUGUAUUAUGCCUAGCUCAUAAUGGGAAGGUUGCAUGGGAUGUUAAGUGGCGACCUUCUAAUGCAUGUCAAUCCAAAUGUAAGCAUCGGAUGGGCUAUCUUGCUGUCUUGCUGGGGAACGGAUCUCUGGAAGUUUGGGAGGUUCCUCUUCCUCGUACAAUGAAAGUUAUCUAUUCCUCUGUGCAUCAGGAGGGUACAGAUCCCCGUUUUGUAAAAUUAGAGCCUGUAUUCAGAGGUUCAUUAUUGAAAUGCGGUGGCAUACAAAGCAUCCCUCUGACAGUGGAGUGGUCAGCUUCACCCCCACAUGAUUACCUACUUGCUGGAUGCCAUGAUGGAACAGUUGCUUUAUGGAAGUUUUCUGCAAGCUGUUCAUCUGAAGAUACUAGGCCGCUGCUUUGCUUCAGUGCAGAUACAGUUCCUAUUAGAGCACUUGCCUGGGCUCCACUUGAAAGUGAUCCAGAGAGUGCAAAUGUUAUAGUUACUGCUGGACAUGGGGGCCUAAAGUUUUGGGACCUACGUGAUCCAUACCGUCCUUUGUGGGACCUCCAUCCUGUGCCAAGGAUCAUAUACAGUCUGGAUUGGCUGUCAAAUCCAAGAUGUGUUAUUCUAUCCUUUGAUGAUGGAACAAUGAGAAUCCUCAGCUUGCUUAAGGCUGCAUAUGAUGUUUCUGUCACUGGAAAACCCUUUGGUGGGACAAAACAACAAGGGUUGCACAGUUAUUACUGUUCAUCAUUUGCUAUCUGGAGUGUUCAAGUGUCACGAAUAACAGAUGGUCAUAACGUGCGUUUGGAUAGAAAUGAAGUUGCGUUUUGCGUUUUUGGCUGGGUCUCACGGCAUUGUUACGACCCAGCCAAACUUGUGAAAAUGCAGAUUUCUAGGCAUGGCUGCAUAUUGCACUGCAGAUGGGACUGUUCUCCGUUUCCAGCUUACAAGCAAAGCAGUAGACAAAGAUCCCUCACGAAAUCGGACCCCACAUUUUCUUUGUGGGUCACUAACCGAAGAGGAAUCACUUAUCACUAUUAACACUCCGGUACCAAAUACCCCUUUCCCAUUGAAGAAGUCACUGAACAAGAGCGGGGACACCCCUUUAUCCAUGCGGGAGUUUUCAUCUGAGCCACAGCAUGUGAAAAGAGCAAAUGAUAAGAUGGCAAAAGGUCCUAGUACGGAUGCCAAAACUUUAGCCCUUUGUUAUGGCGAUGACCCUGGUACAGAAUCUGGAACUGAGGAAGCAUUGACAUGUCCCAAGAGCAAAAAGAGACCAAAUUCUAGAAGUAGCAAUAAAAAAAAUCCAGAGGAUGACCUAGCCUUGGUAUGCAGAGAUGAAGAGCCACCAAAUACACAUGAAAAAGAAAAUGGAAAUGCUGAAGCUCGAACUAUUGAAGUUUUCCCGCCGAAAAUUGUAGCAAUGCGUAGGGUGAGGUGGAACAUGAACAAGGGUAGUGAAAGAUGGUUGUGCUAUGGUGGAGAGGCCGGAGUUGUACGUUGUCAGGAGAUUGUUUUGUCUGAUGUUGAUAGGAAAUUGGCCUUGAAGAGAUGAGACGAGUCCCUAAUCUGUAUAUAUUUGUUCCUCUUCUUAACCAAUCUAUUUAUUUUUGUUUAAUUUUCUCAACUAGCUAUUUAAUGUAAUUUCCCUAUUCAAUUCCGCGUGGGUGAAUGUAUAGGUUUCUUUUGUUGCUUCCA